CUGUCUCUUUAUUAAUAAUAGAAUUUAAUUUUUUAAUUAAAAAGUUAAAAUAUUUUAAAAAGACGAGAAGACCCUAUAGAGUUUUAUAAAUAAAAUAAUUAAGAUUAUUUAAUUAAAUAAAAUUAAGAUUAUAUUAUUUAUUUUGUUGGGGUGACAGAAAAAUAUAUUUAACUUUUUUUUUAUUUAAAACAUUUAUAAGUGGUUAAAUGAUCCAAUAUUAUUGAUUAUAAGAAAAAAUUACCUUAGGGAUAACAGCGUAAUUUUUUUUUUUAGUUCAAAUAA
rnacentral:rRNA from 1 species